GACGAACGCUGGCGGCGUGCUUAACACAUGCAAGUCGAACGGAAAGGCCCUGCUUUUGUGGGGUGCUCGAGUGGCGAACGGGUGAGUAACACGUGAGUAACCUGCCCUUGACUUUGGGAUAACUUCAGGAAACUGGGGCUAAUACCGGAUAGGAGCUCCUGCUGCAUGGUGGGGGUUGGAAAGUUUCGGCGGUUGGGGAUGGACUCGCGGCUUAUCAGCUUGUUGGUGGGGUAGUGGCUUACCAAGGCUUGACGGGUAGCCGGCCUGAGAGGGUGACCGGCCACAUUGGGACUGAGAUACGGCCCAGACUCCUACGGGAGGCAGCAGUGGGGAAUAUUGCACAAUGGGCGGAAGCCUGAUGCAGCAACGCCGCGUGCGGGAUGACGGCCUUCGGGUUGUAAACCGCUUUCGCCUGUGACGAAGCGUGAGUGACGGUAAUGGGUAAAGAAGCACCGGCUAACUACGU
rnacentral:rRNA from 1 species